AAUACAAAGUAAAAAAUUACGACUCUUUUAAUAGUUUUUUCUUGCUAUAGAACACGCAAUCACGUAUUGGAUAGCUAUUUCAUUCUUUGCCAGGAAACAUCCAACUUCCUACAUCUGCAUAAUUUGAUUCAGUUAUGCACUUGCAAUAUACAUAAUUGAAUUACACAUCUUUUAUUUAUCACCCCUAUCAGAAUCAAAUAAAUACCCUUGUGCACCUCCGCACGAAAAGCGCGGUAAGGCAAGGCCAAUAUAUAGUCAAACGAACGCGACAAAUACCGGACCGAUGCUACAACAGGCAGUCUGUUCGAGCAGGCAGCCUCCGGAAGAAAUUGACGGGCAACGAGGGAAGCUUGUGACGGAACCUGGGAUGCCUCAAAAUGUAAAACCCCACCAAAAGCCCCAGCACUUGGAACGGCGUCACGUAAAGCACAAUGGCCAUAAUCAAGCAGAACGUAACGAAAAGCGCCGAGGCCCUUGGAUCCCUCCAGCUAAUAAGCGAGUGGAACCUCUCCCCCUGCGUCGCCAGAUCCCCCACCACCGUCUGGAUCCUCCCCGCUAUGCUCCGCAGCCGGUCGUACCU